UCUGUUUAACAACCUGCUUCUGUUAUCACAGGAAAAGAUGCUCCUUUAAGUCAUCAUUCCUUGGAUCCAAGGUUGCUACACAUACAUUUCUUCUAGAAACUCAGAAAAAAAGAGAAGAGAGUGGAGAACAUGAGGAGGCCUCAGAAAAAAGAAGAGUGGAGAACAUGAGGAGGCCUCAAGUUCAAUGUGAAAAUGCAGUCAGGAAAAGGAUUCUCUAGCAGCCUCCUCUUUGUCAUCCCCAACUCUUCAUAAUAAGCCACCCAUCCAUGGUAAC
rnacentral:lncRNA from 1 species